GAGAGUUAUAUGCGUACGUAUAUCGUAUGUAUAUAGUUCAAAAUAAUGGGGCAAUAUUGGACUAUAAGACGUAAAAGCAACACAGAGAAGUCAGUCACCUUUGCCAAAAUUACUGCAGUUAUUUGAUCGUGUAAGUAAAGACAAAGACACAAUGACUCUUUACAAGUUGCACAGACAUAGCUAAUUUAUUUGGAAUAUUUGACACUGUAAGCAUUUAUCCUGAAUGCCGUUCAGUUCGAGUGCUUGACUUUAACUGCCAUGAUCUUUUCAAGCUGAAUUUGUUCGUAUUAAAAUAAUAAAUUUAAAUCUGAGGGAUGAAUAGACUUGCCAAAUUUUGGCAAAAUCCACUGCAAUUUAUAUUGAUGGAUGUCAGUGAGUUAAAAAUUCAGAUAAAAUAUUACAUUAUGCUACUUUUAUCCAAUAAUGUAAUAGUAUUCUUCUCAGCUAGCCUAUUUUUACUGGAUGGUUAAAGUCUAAUAACACAGGAAUCAAACAAAAAUAGCAUUACAGGUAUUUUAAUCCUCACACAACAUUUUCCUGGGCAACAGGCCAAAAGAUUUCGUUCACAGUACUUGGCACUGUGCACUUCUGCUGUGGCCCUUCAUUAUUAAAUAGCAAUACUAAACCAUAUAUAUCCUAGCUACAGCUGGUCUCCUCCCUCCCCAAACACCUUUCACUAAAGGCAAAGUCCCGCAUAUAUUUAAACCUAUACGUGCAAGACAUCUUAACGUCAAUAAUUUAGAACUGAAUGCUGAAACACACAAAAUAAAUUUGCUGUGGACAGUACUAAUUAGAGCACCGCGGCACAUAUUUGCAAACAUGUACACGCUCGAGCAGCUGUAACAAAGCAUAACACAGGGGCAAAGGUGCGGGCCAGCGAUUCAAAACAGCAGGAAACGGGAUUUGAUGGUGUGCGUAGCUGUGAAGAAGGCAUUGUUAGAGAAGACACGGCUUUGGAAGGUGAACGCUUUCAUCAGUCCCUCAGCUUGCAUUACUCGGCCAUCGCAAAAGCCUCGCCUGCACUCCUGUCCGCUUCUCCAUCGGCUCAGACCAAUAGAUUUAUUUCAGCCUUACUCCGGGCCAUCGCAGCCGCACGCCCCCGGGGGCAGAGCGGGGGCCGGAGCAUCCUCAGCGCGGCCGCAGGGCUCCUUCACCCGCAGCUCCCCGUCUGCACGCGCGUUUACAGACGCCGGGCGUGCAAUCACCGCACCGCGCGCGAUGGGGCAGCCCGGGAGAGCGCAGGCCGCUCCGGGCGGGCCCGGCUCCACCCGAGGGAGGCCGCCGGGCCUCCAGG
ensembl:lncRNA